rnacentral:rRNA from 1 species
AGGCGAACGGCUGAGUAGCACGUGGGCAACCUGCCCUUUGCACUGGGAUAGCCUCGGGAAACCGAGGUUAAUACCGGAUACUCCAUAUUUGUCGCAUGGCGAAUAUGGGAAAGCUCCGGCGGCAAAGGAUGGGCCCGCGGCCUGUUAGCUAGUUGGUGGGGUAGUGGCCUACCAAGGCAAUGAUGGGUAGCCGGGUUGAGAGACCGACCGGCCAGAUUGGGACUGAGACACGGCCCAGACUCCUACGGGAGGCAGCAGCU